CCUACGACUUUUACUCCAAACAGAUCAGAGUGUCGUGGUUAUGGAACGGGCAGGAAGUGACGUCAGGUGUUAGUUUUACUGAGGCGAUGCCUAGCGGGGAUUGGUUCUACCAGGUUCAUUCCUUCCUGGAGUUCACGCCGACUCGAGGAGAACGAAUCGCCUGCAGGGUCGAACAUCUCAGCCUCUCUGAAGCGAUGCUGGUAGUCUGGGUUUCAUAGACACCUCACAUCCUGUGUCAGAGCGAGCUAAAAUGGUAAUAGGAACAUUUCUGCUCAUCUUUGGUUUCGUCUUAAUGAGCACCAGAUUCAUCUACUACAAGAAAAAGUUAAGAGAAAACUUCACUCUCUGCCAAGGAAGGGUUGCAGUUCCAGUGGAAGAUGCAACAGAAGCAACUUAGCAGUCAGGAUGAACCACAGUAUAAACACACUGGUUGCAGUUUUGUGUGUCUCAAAGGGUUUUUCUUUUCAGUUUGUGCAGUAAAUCCACCUUGUAUUUCAGCAGCAAAGACUUUCUAUUCAGUGUGUGUGAAGGUUUGGAUGGUGGGUGGUGAAGUUGUUGCUUGCAGCUGCCAUCGGUUUUAGCAGAUAGUUUCUUACUCUGACCACUCUGCUGUUUGAAUGUUUGUGUUUUUGAGGCAAAAAAAACAGUGGAUGGAUUUAUUCUGCUUCUGCUCUGUGCUGUGUGUUGGUAGAUGACAUUAGAUUGUCUGUUAGGAGACAAUCAUACAGAUAUUUAAUGUUAAACCAGAACUUAAAUGGUACACAACCAUUUAGAAGUAUGAGGUCACUUACCAAUGUCCUUAUUUCUGAAAGAAAAGUUGUUUUCUUAAAGACGAUGACAUUAAAUUAAUCAACUCAUUGCAGGGCAACUUUAGCUAACAGAGAGCAACUUUAAUGAAUACAGAGCACCUUUAACUCAUUUACAGCAACUUUAAUAUAGAGCAACUUUAACUAAUGUAGAGCAACUUUAACUCAUUUAGAGUAACUUUAACUCAUUUAGAGCAACUUUAACUAAUGUAGAGCAACUUUAACUCAUUUAGAGUAACUUUAACUCAUUUAGAGCAACUUUAACUAAUAUAGGGCAACUUUAAUUCAUAUACACUACCGUUCAAAAAUUUGGAGUCAGAAAUGUCCUUAUUUUUGAAAGAAAAGCAGGUUAUUUUCAAUGAAGAUAACAUUAAAUGAAUGAUAAAUCCAGUGUAGACAUUGUUAAUGUGGUAAAUGACUAUUGUAGCUGGAAACAGAUGAUUUUUAAUGGAAUAUCUCCAUAGGGGUACAGAGGAACAUUUCCAGCAACCAUCACUCCUGUGUUCUAAUGCUACAUUGUGUUAGCUAAUGGUGUUGAAAGGCUCAUUGAUGAUUAGAAAACCCUUGUGCAGUUAUGUUAGUACAUGGAUAAAAGUGGGAGUUUUCAUGGAAAACAUGGAAGUGUCUGGGUGAUCCUAAACUUUUGAACGGUUGUGUACAUCUAAAUACAUUUCACCUCUUAGUAAUGUUGACUUGAGUUGUCUUCUGAAAGCAGCACUGAUGAAGAACAAACCAUUUUUUUCUUCUGGAUUCUGAAGUGAUAGAAAGGAAACCUUCAUGAAGUGUUGUCACGGCCCGGCUGUCUAGGGUUGUAACAAAAGAAAAUAAAUCCAACGUUGAGUUACGGA